rnacentral:rRNA from 1 species
AGUGAACGCUGGCGGCAGGCCUAACACAUGCAAGUCGAACGGCAGCGGGUCCUUCGGGAUGCCGGCGAGUGGCGGACGGGUGAGGAAUACAUGGGAAUCCGCCCAGUCGUGGGGGAUAACGUAGGGAAACUUACGCUAAUACCGCAUGCGACCUUAGGGUGAAAGCGGCGGACCGCAAGGCGUCGCGCGAUUGGAUGAGCCCAUGUCGGAUUAGCUAGUUGGCGGGGUAAAGGCCCACCAAGGCGACGAUCCGUAGCUGGUCUGAGAGGAUGAUAAGCCACACUGGAACUGAAACACGGUCCAGACUCCUACGGGAGGCAGCAGUGGGGAAUAUUGGACAAUGGGCGCAAGCCUGAUCCAGCCAUGCCGCGUGAGUGAAGAAGGCCUUCGGGUUGUAAAGCUCUUUAAGCGAGGAGGAGGCUACUUAGAUUAAUACUCUAGGAUAGUGGACGUUACUCGCAGAAUAAGCACCGGCUAACUCUGUGCCAGCCGCCGCGGUAACAC